rnacentral:lncRNA from 1 species
AAUGUAGCUAAAAGUCUACAGUAGUGUACAGUAAUAACCUUAGUUCUUCACAUUCACUCACCACUAACUCAUUGAUUCACCCAGAGAAACCUCCAGUCCUGCAGGCUCCAUUCAUGGCAAGUGCACUAUACAGAUGUACCACUUUUUAUCUUUUACACUGUAUUUUUACCAUGCCUUUUCUAUGUUUAGAUACAUAAAUACUAUUAGUGGGCUAUACCAACUAGGUUAAUGUAUAUACAUUUUUUUAAUUUGAGACGGAGUCUCCCUCUGUCACCAGGCUGGAUUGCAGUGGUGCAAUCUCGGCUCACUGCAACCUCUGCCUCCCAGUUUCAAGUGAUUCCGCUGGCUCAGCCUCCGGAAUACCUGAGAGUACAGGCGCGUGCUGCCACACCUGGCUAAUUUUUUGUAUUUUUUUAAUUAGAGAUGGGGUUUCACCAUGUUGGCCAGGAUGGUCUUGGUAUAUACACUUUGAUGCUCACAUAAUGAUGAAAUCACCUAGUGAUGUGUUUUUCAGACCAUCUCCCUAUAGUUAAGCAAAGCAUGACUGUAUUUUGGGCCUUCUGAAAUCCUCUCCCAUUUAUCUCAAACUCGUUUUUAUAUUUUUGUCACUUUAUACUGUAUUCUGGAUGGUUUUUGCAUAUAAGCCUGAUAGUUAACUUAUUUUUCUUUAACUGCAUGUUAGUAUGUUUAACAUGGCAAUUGAAGUUAACGUCUUAAUAAUUGACUUUUCACUUCUAGAAGUUUUACUUGGUUCUUUUUCAAAGCUUAUCUUAUAAUAUCUAUAACACGUUAUAAUGUUUAAUGUUUUAAAUAUAUUUAUAUGGUAUUUUUCCAGAUUUGUUAUAGUCCCCCCUCGUUAAAUACCAUGUUGCUUGUAUUUGCUGAUUCUCUGUCAUGUCCCUCCCUCAUGAUGUUCUUUAGUUAUUUUGUGUGCUUUUUAUUUUCUAUUUUGAGUAAUUUUGGUAAUUUGGAUUUCUUUAGAUAUCCAAGAAGCCCUGGUUUAGAAACCAUCCCUGCAGUACAUUUGCCCUCAUGGGGGCCUUAGGAGUUGCACAGGUUCUGGACCAGUUACCAUUUUAUUGCCUCAUCCUGAUUUUCCUAAAUCUCUAGAUGGCAGAUCCCCACAUUAUCACAUAAUCCCCACACUGUCAUAGGUUUGGAGUCCUGUUUUCUCAUGGGUGACUUUUUCUUAUCACCCAAGAAUGUAGGGUAGGGAUUAUUUUUUAAAUUAUCUUUUUUCUUUUUCAUGCUUCAUGGUCAAUAUGGCCUUGUAGGUUAUAGAAUUAUGCAAUAGAUUCCCAUAUAGGUCUUAAACUUGUUACACAGUGAAAGUUAGAACCUAAGCUCUCGGGUCCUGGCACCUAGGGUCUGAUGCACACAUGUUCUACAAGAACUUUAGGUUCUUUUUAGUAUUCUAACCUUGAUAUGGUCAGGCUUUGUGUCCCCACCCAAAUCGUAUCUUGAAUUAUAAUCCACAUAAUCCCCACAUGUUGAGGGCAGGAACUGGUGGGAAGUGAUUGGAUCAUGAGGGCAGUUCCCCCAUGCUGAUCUCAUGAUGGAGAGUGAGUUCUCACAAAAGCUGAUGGUUUUUAUAAGGGGUUGUUUGCUCUUGCCUACACUUCUCUCUCUCGCCACCAUGUGAAGAAAGUCCUUGCUUCUCCUUCAUUUUCUCCCAUGAUUAUAAGUUUCCUGAGGCUUCCCAAGCCAUGCAGAACUGCGACUCAAUUAAACCUCUUUUCUUUAUAAAUUACCCAGUCUCAGACAGUUCUUUAUAGCAGUAUGAAAAUGGGCUAAUACAAACUUGGAAGUCCCACUUCAUUUAUGGCAUCCAGGGAUUACUUAUGUUUUAUCGAGCAUUUCUGCAUUUACAUGGGAGGCUAAACUUUCACACCAGCUUAGCCUUCCAUUUUGACAGGAACUGGUCAGCAUACAGAUGAAUAAUUAUAAAUAUGCUUGGCUAAAAUACAAUAAGUUAUGUUCCUAAAAUAUUUCUAUUUUUGAAAUUGCAAAUAUUUCAGAGCUUAUUUUGAUGUAUCAUUAUUGUUUUAAUCUCUGAGAGAUCAACAAUAACUGAAAACUGAAAGCCUCAUGGUUCCAUGUUAUCACCAAGUAUAUAGGAGUAUGAAUCACCAAACAAUGAUGAGGCUUUGUGUACAAAUGAUGAAGUCCUUUGUACACAGUGUCUAACAAUGUUUGUUUUCUGGGUUUUGACUCAUGUCAUUCUUUACAGGUACCACUGCUUGCUGCCAUUCCUGGUUGCUUGAUGGCAGUAGGGUGUCUUGGCUAAGUGCUCCGCUUCUCUAAUUGCUGUGGGCCAGAGAAGUCAGUCUUUCAACAAAGGCCUAUAAAGUGGAAUUAGCCAUACACUUUCUUGUUAUUUUAUUAAACCAUUAUAAUUAUCCCAGGAAAACUGGAAAACCUAUGAAUACACAGAAAACUAGCAAAUUUGUAAGUUGGUUUUAACAUCAAUGGGUUCUCUGGCUACCUCCUCUCUAUUUCUACAAUAAAGUGUCUUUCUCAUUUACUAUUUUAACUGUUUACUAUCUGUCUUAUCAUUGGAAUACAUGCUUCAGAAAUUGGCAUACUGUCAUUGUGUUCACUCUUCGCACCCCAGUGACUCCUCAGUGAAUGGUACUCUGUAGACACUCAAUAAAUAUUUGUCGAAUCAAUGAAUAGAGGUGGAAAACUGAAUAACAGAGCUAGAAAUAGUGACUAGUAUAGUCUUGAUCCAUAGAUUAUAUACUAUACCUUUUAAAUUUUAUUUUUUAAUUGGCAAGUAAUAAUUGUACAUAUCCAUGGGAUGCAUAGUGGUGUUUUGAGACAUACAACGUGUAGUAAUCAGAUACAUUAUACUUUUAAAGAACUCUCAGAAAUAGGAAUUUUCAGUAGUCAGUACUAACUUGUUCAGGAUAUCCUCAAGUGUAACAAAACUUUUUUUUCUUGGCUCUAAUUUAUGUCUUCCCUUUAUUCAACCUUCUCUGUAGUAUAGGAGUUGGUAACCUGCACGAUCCCUGCUUUUGAGUUUAAUCUAAGAAUAUCUACAAAGUCAAUGACGCACUGAAUCCCAGCAGUUAUAUACUCUGAAGAUGACAACUUUCUCCAAAGUUUGAAGACAGAUGAUGAAAUAUUGAAAUGUUUCAGAAAUAGACUUCUCAGAGUUGCUUUUUAGUUUUCAUGGGAGAAGAGAGAAAUAUAUAGUGAUAAAUUAAUUAAUUAAAUCAUAGCUAGUAAACUCAUACUUAAAGUGAGACAUCCCAUAGCUCAGUCAAUAUGAAUAUUAGAAUUUUUAGAAGAAAAUAUUACAGUAUCAUUCUUUUAAAAAAACAGAACAUAUUGUAUUUAAGACAUACAAGAUAAGCUCUUGUUCAUUUAAGACCAAAGCUUAUAGCUAAAGUGAACUUCUGCUCUAAAAUUUAAUCUUUUCUCCUCAAACUAAAUGUAUCAGACAUCACUUAGUAAAUUGUAAUAACUACAGCCAAAUAUGUACAAAUAUGACUAACCCGAGAGUUGGCGCCAAACUAGUUUUGACCUUUCAUUGUAAAAUGAUCCUUUAUGGUCUUCCAAAAGACGUGGACGUGUUUUAGUGGCCACAAACAACAAUUCAAAUGUCAUGUUGUAAAAUAAAGUGAAAACAAAGCUUCUUACAUAGGAAACGAAUUUUAAUUAAGGUCAAGAAUCUUAUCUGCAUUAGAGUUUAUAUUUGUUCUAGCCUAUACUGAACCUGUUUGAUGGUUCAUUCUUAGCUUUGAAUGACUUAAAGGCUCUCACAACAUUAAGGGCAUGAAAGUUAACCUACUUUAAUUAAAUCUGAUAGUUGAUUGAAAGUAAAUAAUACUUUGAAAUAAUUUCUAACUAUGGAGAUUGAAGAAGCCGCUCCAGAAUCAUUUCAAUUGCUACCAAAUUAACCCCUCCCAGAGAGGAAUGGAUAAUGACAUCAACCCUUUGAACCUAUUGAAAACUAAUCUAAUUAGAGACAUUUUGCUGAAAGGCAAGAGUAGAUAAAAGAAGAAGGAGAGAGAGCAAAAAUUGCAGCAACUUUUUUGGGGGGUCUGGCUCUUGUAAAAUGUAUUAGUCACAAAAAGUAUAGAAACACCUUUAGGAAACUUUCUUUUCUUGUACCCACUAACGACUCAAGGAACUCAAUUAAAUCAAGAUAUUUCUAGUCUUCCAAAGAUAGAUAAGAGGAAGAGAAGAAAGGAGAUAUGAAUAAAGGAAAAAGGGAAAGGAAAGGAAAAGCUUUUAGUUAUUGAGCAAUUCCUUUGUAUCAGAAUUCCAUUAAGGGCUUUUCAUAGAUUAGCUAAUACAAAUCUUACAUAAGAAAAUUAUUAGUAUCCCCAUUUCAUAGAUGAAGAAACAAAGGCACAGAAAGGUAAAAUGAAUACGUUUGGUCAGAAGCAGAAGUUGACCACAUGAUGGAAAAUACAAUUAUUAGCUCUUCUCCCUCAUAGGAAGAAGCUACGUCGCUUUCUGCAAGUCUCUUAACUCUUAAGGAACCUACACUCCCAUCUCCUACAUGAGCGGCAAUUGCUAGAAGAUGUCUCAGGUCACUUCAAGCCCUAAGUUGCUACAUUAACCCUGCACUGCUGUGGUCUCUAGACAACAAGAUAUUUGAAAAAGGACGGAAAUUGAAAUACUAUCUUUCCAUGGGAGCUGACAUUUAUUACUACGUUGACAUUUAUUACUAUUACUCAUUUAAUUUUACAGAAGUCCUAUAACUAGACAGUUAUUAAGAAAAGCAGAGGUCAAAUGACUUGUCCAAGACCACGCAGCCCAUAAAGAGCCUGCCUGUGUCCAAUAUACGUGCUUUCUCUAUAAUAUUUUCUUCCAAAGAAUACCUAAGCCUACAUGUAAUGCAGAAUAAAAUAUACCAUCUCACUCUAUGAUGGUUUUAUGAAUAGUUAAUUGUAGUUAUAGUUGCAAUCAUAAUAACAAUAUCUAACAAUCACUAUGAGCCAGGUACCAUUCUAAAAGCUUGAGUGAAUUAACUCACUCAAUUGUCACAACAAAGCUAUUAGGUAGAUACUAUACUAUCCCCAUUUUAUAUAUGGAAACUGAGGUACAGAAAUGUUAAAUAACUAAUCGAAGGUCACCAGAUAGUGCAUGUCAGUCCUGGCUGGAAUUUGGACACAGGCAC